ACGAACGCUGGCGGCGUGCCUAAUACAUGCAAGUAGAACGCUGAAGGAGGAGCUUGCUUCUCUGGAUGAGUUGCGAACGGGUGAGUAACGCGUAGGUAACCUGCCUGGUAGCGGGGGAUAACUAUUGGAAACGAUAGCUAAUACCGCAUAAGAGUAGAUGUUGCAUGACAUUUGCUUAAAAGGUGCAAUUGCAUCACUACCAGAUGGACCUGCGUUGUAUUAGCUAGUUGGUGGGGUAACGGCUCACCAAGGCGACGAUACAUAGCCGACCUGAGAGGGUGAUCGGCCACACUGGGACUGAGACACGGCCCAGACUCCUACGGGAGGCAGCAGUAGGGAAUCUUCGGUAAUGGACGGAAGUCUGACCGAGCAACGCCGCGUGAGUGAAGAAGGUUUUCGGAUCGUAAAGCUCUGUUGUAAGAGAAGAACGAGUGUGAGAGUGGAAAGUUCACACUGUGACGGUAUCUUACCAGAAAGGGACGGCUAACUACGUG
rnacentral:rRNA from 1 species